rnacentral:rRNA from 1 species
UACGUAGGGUGCAAGCGUUGUCCGGAAUUAUUGGGCGUAAAGAGCUCGUAGGCGGUCUGUCGCGUCGGAUGUGAAAAUCAGGGCUCAACCCUGGACCUGCAUUCGAUACGGGCAGACUAGAGUUCGGUAGGGGAGACUGGAAUUCCUGGUGUAGCGGUGAAAUGCGCAGAUAUCAGGAGGAACACCGGUGGCGAAGGCGGGUCUCUGGGCCGAAACUGACGCUGAGAGCGAAAGCGUGGGGAGCAAACAGG